rnacentral:rRNA from 1 species
CGUAAGCACGGGGCAGCGGGCGCGGGUAGCCGGGUGGUGGGAGCGUGGUCCGGAAGCACGGGGCGUAAAGGUGGCGUAGGUGUGGCGACAAGGCAACGGUGCAAGCCCGGGGCUAAACCCCGGGUCGGCCGUCGAUACUGUUGGGCUCGAGCACUGUAGAGGCAGAUGGAAUUCCGGGUGUAGCGGUGGAAUGCGUAGAGAUCCGGAAGAACACCGGUGGCGAAGGCGGUCUGCUGGGCAGUAGCUGACACUGAUGCGCGACAGCGUGGGGAGCAAACAGGAUUAGAUACCCCGGUAGUC